rnacentral:rRNA from 1 species
AGUGAACGCUGGCGGUAGGCCUAACACAUGCAAGUCGAACGGCAGCACAGUAAGAGCUUGCUCUUACGGGUGGCGAGUGGCGGACGGGUGAGGAAUACAUCGGAAUCUACUUUUUCGUGGGGGAUAACGUAGGGAAACUUACGCUAAUACCGCAUACGACCUACGGGUGAAAGCAUGGGAUCUUCGGACCUUGCGCGAUUGAAUGAGCCGAUGUCGGAUUAGCUAGUUGGCGGGGUAAAGGCCCACCAAGGCGACGAUCCGUAGCUGGUCUGAGAGGAUGGUCGGCCACACGGGAACUGAGACACGGUCCAGACUCCUGCGAGAGGGAGCAGUGGGGAAUGUUGGACAAUGGGCGCAAGCCUGGUCCAGCCAUACCGCGUGGGUGAAGGAGGCCUUCGGGUUGUAAAGCCCUUUUGUUGGGAAAGAAAAGCAGCAGGUUAAUACCCCGCGGUUCUGACGGUACCCAAAGAAUAAGCACCGGCUAACUUCGUG